UGCAGUCGAACGGUAACGCGGGGCAACCUGGCGACGAGUGGCGAACGGGUGAGUAAUAUAUCGGAACGUGCCCAGUAGUGGGGGAUAGCCCGGCGAAAGCCGGAUUAAUACCGCAUGAGACCUGAGGGUGAAAGCGGGGGAUCGCAAGACCUCGCGCUAUUGGAGCGGCCGAUAUCAGAUUAGGUAGUUGGUGGGGUAAAAGCCUACCAAGCCGACGAUCUGUAGCUGGUCUGAGAGGACGACCAGCCACACUGGGACUGAGACACGGCCCAGACUCCUACGGGAGGCAGUAGUGGGGAAUUUUGGACAAUGGGCGCAAGCCUGAUCCAGCCAUGCCGCGUGCGGGAAGAAGGCCUUCGGGUUGUAAACCGCUUUUGUCAGGGAAGAAAUCUUCUGGGCUAAUACCUCGGGAGGAUGACGGUACCUGAAGAAUAAGCACCGGCUAACUACGUGCCAGCAGCCGCGGUAAUACGUAGGGUGCGAGCGUUAAUCGGAAUUACUGGGCGUAAAGCGUGCGCAGGCGGUCUUGCAAGACAGGUGUGAAAUCCCCGGGCUUAACCUGGGAACUGCACUUGUGACUGCAAGGCUGGAGUACGGCAGAGGGGGGGGUGGAAUUCCGCGUGUAGCAGUGAAAUGCGUAGAUAUGCGGAGGAACACCGAUGGCGAAGGCAAUCCCCUGGGCCUGUACUGACGCUCAUGCACGAAAUCGUGGGGGAGCAAACAGGAUUAGAUACCCUGGUAGUCCACGCCCUAAACGAU
rnacentral:rRNA from 1 species